GACGAACGCUGGCGGCGUGCUUCAUACAUGCAAGUCGAACGAGCAGCUGACUACGGUCAGUGGCAAGCGGCGGCCGGGUGCGUAAUAUGUAGGAAAUCUGCCUCUAGGUGUGGGACAACAGAGGGAAACUUCUGCUAAUACCCCAAAUGAGCGUAGCAGAAAUGCUAUUUUUGAAAGCUCCGGUGCCUAAAGAUGAGUCUGCAUCUGAUUAGCUAGUUGCGAGUGUAAUGGACUACCAAGGCGAGGAUCAGUAGCUGGAUUAGGAGGAUGAGCACCAAAAAUCGAAAGGAGACACGGAUCAGAAUCCUACGGGAGACGGCAAUAGAGAAAUGGACGCAAGGGGCGAAAGCCAGACGAAGCUACGCCGCGUGAACGAUUCAGCCCUUCGGGGUGUAAAGUUGUGUCAGUGGGGACGAAUCUUGACGGUACCCACAGAGGAAGCACCGGCUAACUCCGUG
rnacentral:rRNA from 1 species